rnacentral:pre_miRNA from 1 species
CCCACCCUGUCUCAUGGGUAGUUUAGCUCAACUAGUACAUGUAAUUAGUAAUCCCUCCGUAUAAUUAGUAUUUUUGUUGUUAUGAGAUGAUAAAAUAUGAAUAGUACUUUACUUAUGACUUAUGUUUUUAAUUUUUUUUAAAAAAAAUUUCAAAUAAGAUGGACGGUUAAAGUUGGACGUGAAAAAUCAUAGCUGCAUUUAAA